GAGCUGCUGCUCACACGUGAUAUUUGAUUGGCCAGAACACUGCCAUCCAACAAGGUAGCUUUCAAAUUGCAGAGCUCUACAUGUUGUCUGAUGCAAGUACACAAAAUAUAGAGCUUUAUUACGUGAAUGAACUACCAAGAACGUGUUCGGGGAGUGUACUCCGUUCCGUGGAAUGGGAACGGUGCAGAUUAAACAAAACUCACUGAAUUUGCAGUUUUGGCCUAUUGGCCUCAGCCAAAUUGCACUAGGUACUGUACACAACUACGAAACCGUCAAAAUCGUACUAUUUCUCACCAUUUGCCAACACUGAUGCAGGUUGCUUCUUCGCGUUCUCUCCGUUCUUCCUGCUGUUGGCCGCCUUAUCGGCUUCUCUGGCGGCGUUGAUGUCCUUCUGGCUCAGGAAGCUCGGCUGGUUGGUUGAAGACAGCAGCCUCGCCCACAUCCUGUCGGUUAUCCUCACCUUGUUCCUCGUCGAUGUUACCCUCUGUUGUCAGGAUAAAAUUUGAAGUAAUGUUAAAAGGUGCAAAGGUAAAAUCAUGAAAUUCCUCAGAAGUUUCAUUCCUUCUAGAAGACAAAUCCCAUCUCUAGUGAAAGCAAAGCUACAGGAGAAAUUUUAGUUGAGCUUCAAUGCCCACUUAGGUGCUUUGCAAAAUUUCAGACCAAAUGCAGUGCAAUGCAAUUGCUACUGGAGUACUGGUAAGUGGUGAGGUGUACGCUCCUUAUGUGCUCCUUUUAUGAAACACAAGGCUUGUUUAGAAUUAUACUGAGUUGAACUCAUUUCUUUUUAGCAUGCAGCAAGCAAGAUUGUGCCAAGCGAGCGAAAUGUUUGGGCAUCUUAGCAUGAUCCACCAUGACAGCUGUCUCUGCCAAAAAGAAACUAAAUAAGAAAUUCAACGGCCCAGAGGAUAUACUGGUGGCCCUGAACCUAUGUGCUUAUUUCCUAAAACUUGCAUCCAACUGGCAGGAAGGGCAUACUAAUACCAUCUAUGUUUACGAAAGGAUAGAGCGAAAGUUAUAC
rnacentral:lncRNA from 1 species